UAUGCUUGUUUGAUAAAUGAUAAGCAGGGCAGGUUUGAUAUUUGAAUUUAGUAUAGUGCCGAAAUACGCUUAGCUAUUAGUUUACCUACACUAGAACGCACACGCAGUCACGCAACGCAUCACGCAGCAGUAGAGGGCAGACUCGUAAACAGACGAACGUGUGUAAGCGAGACGUGGUAGUGUUGUGAUUAAUUAUAAUUUGUUAGGCCCGCUUACGGAAUCCGAUAAAAGAUGGGGAAUAUAAUCUUUUCCAUAAUAUGGCUCAUCAUCCUAAUAUUUAUUGCAUUUUGGGUCGCGGGCAUUGCUGCCGGUAUCUACAUCAUAGUACUUCCAUUUACUGUUUGCAUAGAAGCUUUAUCUGGUCUAACGGACUUCCUGCUGUCAGUAAUUCAAUUCCCUAGAUACUGCGCCCAAUGUAUGAUGGACGGCAAAGGUUUCGGAUAAAUUAUUCUACAUUUACAAGUUAUUUAUAGUAUUUAUUGUUAUGUUAUUAUUUAAAAGUUUACCUUUAUAUUAUUAAUAUAAUGAAAAAUAUGUAUGUAUGAGUAUGAUGAGUGAUCAAUGUUUUUAAUUUAAAUAAAAAAAGAACUGGAAA
rnacentral:lncRNA from 1 species